AUGUUAGUGUGUUACUUAUUCCACAAGAAAUCAUGAAAGUGCUGUUCAUUUAUGGAGAACAAGAACACUUUAGUUGAGAUUUGCUUUAUAGCAUCAUUGAAACACAUCUGAAGUAUGUCAGUGCGGGCAUUUUAAGGGAAAUCUGAAAAGAUCUUUAAAUUCAAGACUGCACGUAAACACCCAAGAAGCCUAAGAGUGGCUGCCUUGCAUAUGCAGUUUAAUAGCCAGUUCACGAAGGAGGGAGAAAUAAUCUAACAAAUGGUAAGAGAUGAUUAAAACAGCAUUCCUGGGGUGAAUGAUUCUGAAAACAGCAAGACAAUUACUGAAUGAAUUUGACAGACGUAAAUCAAUUAUUUGAGAAGUAGAAACAAGGUACUGGUUCCAUGGCAUCUGCAACAUAUCCACUAACUACAAAAACUGACAGUGGAAUUGGGCUAUGUGUCCCUUUUCUGCCUUUAUUGUCUAUGUUUUUGUAUACUGAUGUUCUGCCUGGACUGUUUUGUCAUCUGCACUCUAGAGAUAUUCACCACCAGUUCCAUUAGCCAAGCUUUUUUUUCCAGCAGCUGGAGCUAUUUACCAAUGAAUGUUAAUCUUGGAUAUAUAAAUUGGCAAGGCUGAUGGGCAUAACAGUGAUUAGUGUUACCCUAUACUAUACUUGUUUUUUAAAAAAGAUAUUCUUUACCCUUUACAAUUACUCCAUUAUAUACAACACUUCUUUUGGCAAACACUUUCUUGAAAUGAAGAGAUUCUAUGUAGACAUCUGACUAGUGUACUUCCCAAAGACCUGUUUUUACAGAUUUGCAUUAUAUUUGUGCAAUUUGUGUUAUGCCACUGAUGGCUUGACACUGACACCAUGUGACUGAGUUUUUAGUUGUCUGUUUUAAAGGAAGGUAUAAAGUAAGAAAUAUUAGACAUGGCCAUUUUAAAAGCAAAGGUAAAUGUAUUAAAGUAAUAUUCUGAUAGUUACUGUUUUAAAACAUGCCACUGGAUUUGUAUCAGGUGUUAAGUUCACUUGGAGUUUCGACUUGGUUAAACAGAUAAUCCUGAGGUGGCAAUUAUAAUUUUCAUUCAGGAAAAAAGAUUUGAUUUACACCAAAAUUCUCCCCAGUUUAAAGUCUGUUUUGUAAAUGUUAUAAAUUGUCUGAUGCAUGCCUGUCACUAAACAUAUAUUUGCAUGCAAAUUAAUGUUACUAUUUGAUUGUUAUUUGAUUUUCCAUGAUUUAGCAGACUCUUCACAGGUUGCUGGAAUAAUAAUGAGGGAUUAAUUCUGCUGAUUUUUAUUAAAUUACUUUAAUAGUUUAUAUAUAGAGGAAUUAUGAAAAUGGCAUCUGUGUCAAUCAAAUUCAUUGGUUUAUCUCAUACACACAGAAAAAGAAACUUGCAAGCAGCUUGGAAAAAACAGACAAUAUAAUGUAUUUUGACUCCCAGAGCUGACUUCCAUGCAUUCCUUGUAAAAACAGGAGAGUGAUUUCUGCAAUAUGGCCAAUCAUACCACCAGUGUUAUCCAAGACACACUGGUAAAUGAUAAAUUGGGUUAUGCUAUAAUAAGCUGAAUACUGAAUUGUUGUGUAAACUGAUAAGCACUGCAUAGGUAUUGCUUGACUUUAUUGAGUUCAUCUCAAUAAGUAGCAGUGAUGCUGUUGUCAGAACAAUAAACAUAAGUUGUGAAAUGAUUUGA